GGGGAUGUGGCUCAAUGGUAGAGUGCUUGCCUAGCAUAUAUGAGGCCCUGGGUUCUAGCCCCAGCACCA
rnacentral:tRNA from 1 species